UACGAAGGGGGCUAGCGUUGCUCGGAAUCACUGGGCGUAAAGGGUGCGUAGGCGGGUUUUUAAGUCAGGGGUGAAAUCCUGGAGCUCAACUCCGGAACUGCCUUUGAUACUGAAGAUCUUGAGUCCGGGAGAGGUGAGUGGAACUGCGAGUGUAGAGGUGAAAUUCGUAGAUAUUCGCAAGAACACCAGUGGCGAAGGCGGCUCACUGGCCCGGUACUGACGCUGAGGCACGAAAGCGUGGGGAGCAAACAGG
rnacentral:rRNA from 1 species